UUUUAAUGAUCAAGUGUGACAUCACUUGUAUCCAUCACAGCUGGGGGUCGGUGUUGAUAUCAGGGAGCUGUGACUGAGGGCCCGGCCCCUCAGGCUCUGGGAGCCGGCUGACAGGAUCUACACAGACAGAAGACGUCAGACUGAAUGUAGCAGAAACCAAACUACUGACAUGUCAGAUUAUCCAGCUGUACAGAUGCAACAUGGACCAGAAUGAAAAUGUAGAAGGUGUAGCAAAGACUUCCACUCAAAUUGUUGUUUUUUUAUUGUACAUUUCAAUAGGAAAAUGACAUUCAAGCAUUUAAUUCUACAUUUCAGGGAUUUUUUCUUACUGUAAAAACUAAGAUGUCAAACUACUGACAAAAAACUUGUAAUCAUUGUAUCUCUUGUUAUGUUCAAUGCAGAAUUGAUUAAAUUGGUUCUAAUAAAUGUUUGUCAUCUUAA